AGUACGCGAUAACUUUGUUACUCCAGGCAUUAAAAUUCAGCCUAAACACUUGCCAUUCAAAUAAAGAGCAGAGAUUCCCGAAUAGUGCAUUCAACGUUCAUUCUUUACUUAGAGAUUGCUGCUUGAUUUAAAUUUGGCUUAUCGGAUGUUGAUAAAGUUCCAUUUGGUGAUUAAGGUAUUUUUAGUUCCUUCAUGAGGAACUUCAAAACCCAUGCUAUUUCACCGUUUCUUCUAUAUCUCUGUCAUUGUGGUUAGUACAGAGAUGCAUGUGAAGGGAGAGAGCAUGUGGCUGAAGACAUGAGGAAAGGGGAAUGUCAACGUAUCAUCGCAUGGACCCGAAUCUCGGAUCUUCGAAUUUCUAGAUGAACAUGCUAACCACUUACCAUAUCACUCAUGGAAGAAUGAAAUAAUUGCUUAUAUUCUUUCCUAUUUAAAAACAAUUGAGGUCAAUAAUGAGAUCCAGUCAUCAGAUCCAUGUAAUUAUGAGUUAUCAUCUCCCAUGUUUUAGUUCGAACAUUACAGUAGAUAUCCCUGGGGCGUUUCUGCAAAUAGUGUGUGCAUGCUCUGCAGUACUCAAACGCACAAACAAUCUAACUUUAAAUCUUUUGCUCUAGUUUUUAUAUUCAAGAAACUUUAAGGGUUAUACUUUUCCCGUACAAAAUACGAGUAUUUAUAUAUUUUUAAUUCUACCAUAGUAUUUUUUCUUCAGGUGCCAUUAGGUCAGGAAGAGAAAACUUAACUGAAGAAUCAAAAUAAAGAAUUUCAUUUGGUGGCACUGAUUUAUGUUAAAUAAUCCUCGGGUCUUUAAACUUGCAACAUAAAUAAUUAUUUUAGAAAUCUUCUGUUGCUAUUAUUUCAAAUUAAAUGCAUGUUUCUGAAUCUACAGAAGUAAAUUUCUCCUAGUUAUUGCGUCUGAUAUUUUAAGAUUUCUAGCCUGAGAUACACGUUUUUCCCCUUAAUGUGAGAAAAAAA